rnacentral:rRNA from 1 species
AACGUAGGAGACAAACGUUAUCCGGAGUUACUGGGCGUAAAGGGCGCGUAGGCGGCCUUGCAAGUGACGGGUGAAAUCCCUCGGCUUAACCGAGGAACUGCCUGUCAGACUGCAUGGCUUGAGACCAGGAGAGGUGAGUGGAAUUCCCAGUGUAGCGGUGAAAUGCGUAGAUAUUGGGAGGAACACCAGUGGCGAAGGCGGCUCACUGGACUGGUACUGACGCUGAUGCGCGAAAGCGUGGGGAGCAAACAGG